GUUAUCCUCGCACCUGUGACUUCAAAAGAAGUCUGCCCUGUGACAAAAGGGAUUAGGUGUAACUAUACUCCAUACUCCAACCACGAACUUGAACCGAUCCCUAUUUUCUGAGUACAGAAAUACAAAACGAAUUUCCGCAAGAAGACUUCAUGCCACCAAAGUGAUACGUAUCCAUCUGACGAAUCCCACCUUAACAAUGCACGGUUCUCCGGCAAAGUUAGAAUGGCUACACAAUCUGCGAGGGGCUUAAGGUGUCUGAUUGGUGCUCAAAACAGCGAAUCGAAUCCUCCAACCACGUUUUUUUUUUUUGCUUUAUAAAGAUUGUGUCUCCAGAGUUCGCGGAAAGCCUGCUUGGCGCGCACCAAAACCACAGCAUAAAGCUCCGACAUUACAAGCUUAAAAGUGACACGGUUCGGCUUUUGAUUGUUUCUUACUUUUUAUGGAAGAAAUUCAGACUCGAGA